CCCCAGAAGAAUAAGUAGUCUUUCUUCUUUUAGAAAUUGUAAAUUCAGUUAUAUGAGAACAUCGAGAUUAUGAAAUUCUCAUACCAACGGUCUACCAUUUUUCCAGACUCCAGCACAAGAGUCUGCGGAGGAAGGAUGCCAGAAACAAGGAAGGGGGACAAACAAGGAAGAGGGACAAAUUGCCCCCCUGCAACCACAGGCAGGAGGCAACCACAGGCAGGCCGGCUCACGGAGCAUGAUAAGAGCAGUCUUUCUUCUUUUGGAAAUUGUAAAUUCACUUAUAUGAGAACAUUGAGAUGAUGAAAUUCUCAGACCAACGGUCUACCAUUUCCCAGAGUCCAGCGCAAGAGACUCCAGAGCAAAAGACUCCAGCGCAAGAGAUGGAGCCCGAGCAGGAAACACGAAAUGACCUGUGACUUCUGCUUGCUGUCAUCCAGUUUUUGGUGUUAAAUCUCUUGUUAAAUCUUUUGUGUUAAAGACUCAAAUUAAUCAUAAACUGAAGCGUUACCGAAGAAAGUUACGAGCUGUGCAACAGCUAUUUGGUUUUCUCCAAACUAUAUCUGAAGGAUUAUCGUUGGAGGACUUCUUAAAACUUAGUCUCAUUCUCCAUACAGAAACUAAUAAAUUUCUAAUUGCCGAAAAGGUAAAACCAUCAUAAAGAAAAAGACACGAUAUGAAAGCUUCCUGGAAGACAGGAGGAGCCCUGUACAUACACAAUACAGAACGUUUAUAUAACUUAUAUAUACUCUAAAGUAAAUAUACUAUAUAUUUAUUAAUUCCAACCAUGUCCAAAUUCAAUGCAGAUUAGAUACCUUCGAUCGAUUACCGAAGAUCUACCAGAAGAAGCGGUGUUAUUUAGGUAGGUGGAUGACUGUUUAGUCAAGCAAAUUGUUACUUCAUAUAUGGAUUAUUUAGGUAAAUGAAUGACAGCAAAAGUCACAAUGUAUUGAACCUGUGACUUUUUUUUUCAGCCUCUAGUUUAAUGUUUAUGUAACCAUUCGUUUCAGUUUCAAUGUUAUUUUUGUUCAAGUUGUUCUCAUUUCAUUGUCAUUUAUUUUCAAAAUGAAUGGAUUGCAUUUGUGUGUGUGUGUGGGGGGGGGGUGUGUAGAUACAGGGAUUUAAUGCAUAUGUGGUCCUUUGGCCGCCUUAAAAAUUCUUUAAUGUUUUAGACCUAAUGUUUUAUAAUUUUGAAGUGACUUUUUUCUCUUUUAUUUUCAAAAUAGUGAUGGAAGGGAAAAGAAGAAGAAAAAGAAGUAAGUUCCUCAUGUUUCUUCUGAUUUUAUUUACCCUAUCCUGACGACUGUGUUUACUUUGCAUGCUUGGGAGUAGUGUUAGCUCAGGAAAAGCAUUUUAUGUUGCUUUUGCUUGCUUUGUGACAGUUUUAUUUUUUAUUUCCCUAUAAUUUUAAAAUUUAAAAAUAGUCUGGAACGGGACAAUAAUCUUAAUAGCGGCGAGUGGAAUUUGGCUAAAGCGGACUGGCCUGCUUUUCAGACCAUCUGCUGCACCCGCCUUCUCUGAAACUCCACUUUUAAUUUUGAGGUUGGGGACUUUGGCAAUGAUCCUAUGUAACAUCCUGCCAAAGUCUUCACCUCAAUUUUGACUGAAAUCGCAUCAGAGACAAUCCCUACACGGAGGCAUUGAAAUAACCACCCACGGGUGCCUUGGUUCACAAAGGAAUGUAGGGUGGCCUAGCGCGCUAGAAAGAAGGCCCAGCGCAAAGCUUUUCGGCAACCUACUAUUGAAAACAUUAUAAAUUUUAAAACAAGGAGAGGAAGGCUGUGUUUACUUUGCAUGCUUGGGAGUACUGUUAGCUCUGGAAAAGAUAAGGGAGGCAAAAGCAGUAUUUUUAAUUAUUUGCAGAGAGAUAAGACGAGCAAGGGGAAACCAGUCAGGGACGAGAAGAGGAGCCCUGUACAUACAAUACAGAACGUUUAUAUAACUUCUAUAUACUCUAAUGGAAACUCUAGUUAGUAGCGAACGUUUUCAGAAUGCGUGUAUGGAUAACAUAAAUUAUUUGCAGUUCACCUAUUCUUUCUUCACUGAUCGAUACCAACACAACCAGGUACGGAGUGUAAGAAGUCUUUUUGCGUGUCUAUUUUUUCAGCAACUGAAACCUCAAAAGGCGGCUCCCGCCACCGGAGAAAAAAAAAGAGCGAUUCAUCAUCUAACUGGGUUUAUCGAAACAAUCGCAGAAGGAUUAUCUUUGGAAGAAGUCCUUCCAUUAAGUGCUGUUCUGAUUAAUGAUAUCAACAGAUUCGUAGCUGCUGGAAAGGUAAACCAUCAUAAAGCCAGUAACUAAGGCUCUAAGGUAUCUCAGAACUCUUAGGAAUGGUUUCACAGUUUCCAUUAGAUUAUAUGCAUUAUGUGUGUCUUGGAGUUAUGAGAAGGUUGCAGAUGAAAGAGCGUGAAUAACGAGAGUGAGUGAGGAAAGUUUUCAGAAUGUGUGUAUGGAUAACAUAAAUUAUUUGCAGUUCACCUGUUCUUAAAUGUUUAAGAUCUAAUGUUUUAUAAUUUUUGAAAUGACUUUUUUUCUCUCUUUUUUUUUAAUAGCAAAAGGAAAGAAGCGUUUGCAUGAAGAGGUAUGUUCCUUAUGUUUCUUCUAAUUUUAUUUACCUUAUAUAAUAGGUUGAAAUAUGUACAUGUAUAAUGUCUUUUUUUU